GCAGGAGUUGGAGGCCCGGCCGCAGCAGCCGCCGCUGCCAAAGCAGCCGCCAAAGCAGCCAAGUAUGGAGCAGCUGGCCUGGCCCCCGGCGUGGGUGGCCUGGCUCCUGGUGUGGGUGGCCUGGCUCCUGGUGUAGGUGGCCUGGCUCCUGGUGUAGGUGGCCUGGUUCCCGGUGUGGGUGGCCUGGCCCCUGGCGUUGGUGCCAUCCCAGGUGCUGGGGUCGGAGGGGUGCCAGGCGCUGUGCCUGGCGCUCCUGGAGUGCCAGGAGUGCGGCGUGGGUGCUGUGCCAGGCUUGGUGCCGGGGGUGGGAGUACCCGGUACCGGCAUUCUCCCUGGAGCAGGCAUCCCCCAGGUUGGGGUGCAGCCCGGUGCUAAGCCUCCCAAAUUUGGAGUUCCCGGUGUCGGUGUCCCAGGGGUUGG